AAAUUGAAGAGUUUGAUCAUGGCUCAGAUUGAACGCUGGCGGCAGGCCUAACACAUGCAAGUCGAACGGUAACAGGAAGCAGCUUGCUGCUUCGCUGACGAGUGGCGGACGGGUGAGUAAUGUCUGGGAAACUGCCUGAUGGAGGGGGAUAACUACUGGAAACGGUAGCUAAUACCGCAUAAUGUCGCAAGACCAAAGAGGGGGACCUUCGGGCCUCUUGUCAUCGGAUGUGCCCAGAUGGGAUUAGCUUGUUGGUGGGGUAACGGCUCACCAAGGCGACGAUCCCUAGCUGGUCUGAGAGGAUGACCAGCCACACUGGAACUGAGACACGGUCCAGACUCCUACGGGAGGCAGCAGUGGGGAAUAUUGCACAAUGGGCGCAAGCCUGAUGCAGCCAUG
rnacentral:rRNA from 1 species